UACGUAGGCAGCGAGCGUUGUUCGGAGUUACUGGGCGUAAAGCGUGCGUAGGCGGUGGUCCAAGUCUGGUGUGAAAUCUCCCGGCUCAACUGGGAGGGUGCGCCGGAAACUGGGCCGCUGGAGUACGGGAGAGGCAAGCGGAAUUCCAGGUGUAGCGGUGAAAUGCGUAGGAUAUCUGGAGGAACACCCGUGGUGCAGACGGCUUGCUGGACCGUGACUGACGCUGAGGCACGAA
rnacentral:rRNA from 1 species